rnacentral:rRNA from 1 species
AACGUAGGUGGCAAGCGUUAUCCGGAUUUACUGGGCGUAAAGCAUGUGCAGACGGGUUGGUAAGUGGUGUAUGAAAGCGUCCGGCUUAACCGGGCAAGCGUAGGCCAGACUGCCAGUCUUGAGAGUGGGAGAGGGAUGUGGAAUUCCGGGUGUAGUGGUGAAAUGCGUAGAGAUCCGGAGGAACACCAGUGGCGAAGGCGACACGCUGGGCCGUACCUGACACUGAUGCGCGACAGCAUGGGGAGCAAACAGG